rnacentral:misc_RNA from 1 species
GAUGAAGAACGUAGCGAAAUGCGAUAAGUAAUGUGAAUUGCAGAAUUCAGUGAAUCAUCGAAUCUUUGAACGCACAUUGCGCCCGCCAGUAUUCUGGCGGGCAUGCCUGUUCGAGCGUCAUUUCAACCCUCAUGCCCCCAGUGCCUGGUGUUGGGGAUCGGCCCAGCCUUCCUGUAAGGCCGCCGGCCCCGAAAUCUAGUGGCGGUCUCGCUGUAGUCCUCCUCUGCGUAGUAGCACAACCUCGCAGUUGGAACGCGGCGGUGGCCAUGCCGUUAAACACCCCACUUCUGAAAGUUGACCUCGGAUCAGGUAGGAAUACCCGCUGAACUUAAGCAUAUCAAUAAGCGGAGGA